UACGUAGGGGGCAAGCGUUGUCCGGAAUUAUUGGGCGUAAAGAGCGUGUAGGCGGUUCGAUAAGUUUGCUGUAAAAGUCGGGGGCUCAACCCCCGAAAGCCGGUGAAUACUGUCGGACUAGAGUGCGGAAGAGGCGAGUGGAAUUCCUGGUGUAGCGGUGAAAUGCGUAGAUAUUGGGAGGAACACCAGUGGCGAAGGCGGCUCGCUGGACCGGUUCUGACGCUGAGGCGCGAAAGCGUGGGGAGCAAACGGG
rnacentral:rRNA from 1 species